rnacentral:sRNA from 1 species
AAAUGCAAUCAGAGCGUACAUUGCUGUCAUACGGUCCCUCUCGCUUUUGACCACGGAUGUACUGGCAAAGGCGAGGGGUGACUGCGAAAGGCCGGGAAGCCCCGGCCUUUUUUGUU